GACGAACGCUGGCGGCGUGCCUAACACAUGCAAGUCGAGCGAGAUUGGAAGCUUGCUUUCAAUCUAGCGGCGGACGGGUGAGUAACACGUGGGUAACCUGCCUUAUAGAGGGGGAUAGCCUUCCGAAAGGAAGAUUAAUACCGCAUAACAUCAGGGUUUCGCAUGGAACUUUGAUUAAAGGAGUAAUCCGCUAUAAGAUGGACCCGCGGCGCAUUAGCUAGUUGGUGAGGUAAGGGGCUCACCAAGGCGACGAUGCGUAGCCGACCUGAGAGGGUGAUCGGCCACAUUGGAACUGAGACACGGUCCAGACUCCUACGGGAGGCAGCAGUGGGGAAUAUUGCACAAUGGGGGAAACCCUGAUGCAGCAACGCCGCGUGAGUGAUGAAGGUCUUCGGAUUGUAAAGCUCUGUCUUUUGAGACGAUAAUGACGGUACCAAAGGAGGAAGCCACGGCUAACUACGUG
rnacentral:rRNA from 1 species